rnacentral:rRNA from 1 species
UUGGGUUAAGUCCCGCAACGAGCGCAACCCUUGUCACUAGUUGCCAUCAUUGGUUGGGCACUCUAGUGAGACUGCCGGUGGACAAACCGGGAGGAAGGUGGGGAUGACGUCAAGUCCUCAUGGCCCUUAUGGUAGGGGCUUCACACGUCAUACAAUGGUCGGGACAGAGGGUUGCCAACCCGCGAGGGGGAGCCAAUCUCAGAAACCCGAUCGUAGUCCGGAUUGCAGGCUGCAACUCGCCUGCAUGAGGUCGGAAUCGCUAGUAAUCGCGGAUCAGAAUGUCGCGGUGAAUACGUUCCCGGGUCUU